rnacentral:rRNA from 1 species
UACGAAGGGGGCUAGCGUUGCUCGGAAUCACUGGGCGUAAAGGGUGCGUAGGCGGGUCUUUAAGUCAGGGGUGAAAUCCUGGAGCUCAACUCCAGAACUGCCUUUGAUACUGAAGAUCUUGAGUUCGGGAGAGGUGAGUGGAACUGCGAGUGUAGAGGUGAAAUUCGUAGAUAUUCGCAAGAACACCAGUGGCGAAGGCGGCUCACUGGCCCGAUAGUGACGCUGAGGCGCGAAAGCGUGGGGAGCAAACAGG